AUACUAACCUGGCACAGGAGAUACCGUGAUCAAGAAGGCGGUGCUCCCAGGACGAGACCCAGCCAUUGCACUUGGGUUGGGUUGACUUCUGCGAUUACCCCAAAUGUGGGUAACUCGGGUGCAUUAUUUUUGAUAGUGAGGAACUGCGUUCGCGCUUUUCCUCU
rnacentral:snRNA from 1 species